UACAGAGGGGGCUAGCGUUAUUCGGAAUUAUUGGGCGUAAAGGGCGCGUAGGCGGCUUUGCGUGUCUUCCGUGAAACUCCCUCGGCUCAACCGAGGACGUGCGGAGGAAACUGCAAGGCUCGAGUCCGGAAGAGGGGGGGCGGAAUUCCCAGUGUAGCGGUGAAAUGCGUAGAUAUUGGGAGGAACACCAGUGGCGAAGGCG
rnacentral:rRNA from 1 species